rnacentral:lncRNA from 10 species
CUUUCAUCCAGAAUGAGGGAUGUAACAGGAGAAAUAUCCCAGUAGUGUGGGAAAGCUAAUUAGGGGUUUGUACCCAUGGGAACUAUGGGAUAAAACUUCUAAAAUGUGGUGAUACUGAACAGUUGCUCUGAAUUGAUGUCUCCUUUGGAUUCUCCCUAAAGAUAAGCAUGAAGCUUAGAGCCCAGCCACCCUCAAAAAAUUGAUUAAAUUGGACAGAACUCUGCUUUAAAAUCAAACAGAGGUGAAUCCAAAUCUUGCAUACUCCAUCUAUCAUCUUUAUAUGCUUCGAGUGCACUCGUGAAAGCAUCAAGGAAAGCAACAACAACACAGGAGGUGGGAAAGGACCCAACCUUUGCCUGAACAACAGUCACUCUUACAAGGAAAUCAGAAAAUCGUUCUUAAUUCUUUUCUCAUUGGUAACCAGGAUUUUGCCUUUCUCAAGCACUUAGGAGGUAAGCACUGGGCUAUGUGCAUGUUUUGGGGAGGUAUUUUCUCUACUAAUGGAUGGCCAGGUGAUCACCCCAAAUAAUUUCUCAUCAACAGCCUACAUGCAAUACACUGGAAUCUUUAUCCUUCAGGGCCUUGGCUUGAUAGUCCACCAAGGGGGCAGCCAGUUCCAGACAUGGUGUUCUUGUGGUCCCUACUACUAAUGGCAUAUCAGCUUGCCAUUGUCCAUUAUACAACCUUGUUGGUAGUCCCUCUGCCUUAGAAUGAGUGGUGGAAGUCCCAGAGACCAUCUGCCAGACACAGGCCCCACAUGUUGUCAUUUCAUGCCAGCAUACAACUAACAAUAGCUAUCUCCUCAGUAGUGAGAAUGACGCUUUAGGUGGAAGGAGGUGCCAGUACUUGAGAGAAACCAUAGAACACAAUGCAAAUCCAAAGUGCAAGCUGGCAGUUCCAUCCCAGACAACCUUCACGGUAUUAGGAACUUAUUCUUUGGAAAAGAGCAGUUAAUUAAAUCUGUCCACAUGUUCUUGGUCCUGACUGAGCCAUUUGGUUUGUGAAAUAAAUUGUUCUGAUCACCUACUGUUCACCCCAUUGGUGAAAGAGGGAUCCCAUUCCCUAACAGUACAAGACUGUUGAACACAGACACCUGACACUAGACAGAUGAGAUAAACACCUGUUUAUUAGUUACAUCUGUUUACAAUCUGUGGCAGUAGAAGACCACACACCAUACAGAGCCACAAGGAGGGUGACACUGGGUAACAGAGUAAAAGAGAAGGCCUACAGAAAGCCUUCUUUCUAAUAACAGGAGGACGGGGUGCUCCUUAGUCCCUGUGUAAAGAUGUGAUUGGCUUCUUUGAAUAAUUUUGCCGUUUGUCAAAUAACUGAAACCUGUUAGGUCAAGGACUGAGUAGGGUGCAGCUGAUUUGGCCAAUGAGGAAACAUUCCUGGUGGGAAACUUUCCCACUGUGUGGGGAGCCAUAUCAGGUUGGGAAAACACAUGGCUAGGACUUUGGGACCCUGUGAAACUCAAAGAUGUCAAAGUAGCACUUGAAAUUAUAGGACUGACAAAACAGAAUGUCCUAAUAAAUUACCACGGACUUGGUGCUUAAAACAACAGAAAUGUAUUCUCUAACAGUUCCGGUGGCUUCAUGUUCAACAUCAGUAUCACUGGGCAAAAAUCAAGGUGUGGGCAGGAUCACACUCUGGAGGCUCUAGAGGAGAAUAUUCCCUGUCCUGUCUACGUCUCGUGGCUGCCUGCAUUCCUUUGCUUGUGGCUGCACUGCUCCAAUUUCUGCCUUCACAUUGCUUUCACCUAUUCUGUGUGUGUGGUGGUUUAAUCUCUCUCUGCAUCUCUCUUAUAAGGAAAGUUGUGAUUGAAUUAAAGGCCACACUGAUAAACUAGGAUAAUCUCCCCUACUUCAAGAUUCUUAACCUAAUUACAUCUGCAAAGGACCUUUCUCUUAUAAAGUAACAUUUAGAGAUUCCAAGGAUUCAAACCUGAUAUCUUUGGGUGGUCAUUACUUAUACUGCAAAAAAUUUGGGUCAUUUAAAAAAUCUGUUCUAACAAUCUCUGACUUUAAAUUCCUGUGUGUAAACAUUUACACUAAUGUAAUAAUUGGUAUGUUCAGAUUUAGAUAUACCAUUUUAUUAUUUGUUUUCUAUUUGUUUCUUGUGAUUUUUGUUGCAAUAUUUCCUUGUACUCUGUUUUUGGGGGUUAUUUAAACAUUUGUUCUUAUUCC